rnacentral:tRNA from 1 species
GGGUGAUUAGCUCAGCUGGGAGAGCACCUCCCUUACAAGGAGGGGGGCGGUUCGAUCCCGUCAUCACCCACCA